GGUUAUGGCUCAGUGGUAGAACGUGUGCCUAGCAUGUGUGAGGCACUGGGUUCAAUCCCCAGCACCA
rnacentral:tRNA from 1 species